GUUUCCGUAGUGUAGUGGUUAUCACGUAUGUAUGGUCAUCACGUUUAUAUGCAAAAGGUCCCCAGUUCGAAACUGGGUGGAAACA